UAUUAACCUCUCCUGGCACCCGAGUUGACAGUUUUGCCCCAACCCGGUUCCAGCAGAGGUUAGCAA
rnacentral:pre_miRNA from 13 species